UACGUAGGUGGCAAGCGUUGUCCGGAUUUACUGGGCGUAAAGAGCGCGCAGGCGGUCGUCCAAGUCGCGUGUGAAAGCCCCCGGCUCAACUGGGGAGGGUCACGCGAUACUGGUCGACUCGAAGGCAGGAGAGGGUAGUGGAAUUCCCGGUGUAGUGGUGAAAUGCGUAGAUAUCGGGAGGAACACCAGUGGCGAAGGCGACUACCUGGCCUGUUCUUGACGCUGAGGCGCGAAAGCUAGGGGAGCGAACGGG
rnacentral:rRNA from 1 species